GACGAACGCUGGCGGCGUGCUUAACACAUGCAAGUCGAACGGAAAGGCCCUGCUUUUGUGGGGUGCUCGAGUGGCGAACGGGUGAGUAACACGUGAGUAACCUGCCCUUGACUUUGGGAUAACUUCAGGAAACUGGGGCUAAUACCGGAUAGGAGCUCCUGCUGCAUGGUGGGGGUUGGAAAGUUUCGGCGGUUGGGGAUGGACUCGCGGCUUAUCAGCUUGUUGGUGGGGUAGUGGCUUACCAAGGCUUUGACGGGUAGCCGGCCUGAGAGGGUGACCGGCCACAUUGGGACUGAGAUACGGCGCAGACGCCUACGGGAGGCAGCAGUGGGGAAUAUUGCACAAUGGGCGGAAGCGUGAUGCAGCAACGCCGCGUGCGUGAUGACGGCCUUCGGGUUGUAAACCGCUUUCGCCUGUGACGAAGCGUGAGUGACGGUAAUGGGUAAAGAAGCACCGGCUAACUACGUG
rnacentral:rRNA from 1 species